GGACCCGCACAAGUAGUGGAGCAUGUGGUUUAAUUCGAAGAUACGCGCAGAACCUUACCAACACUUGACAUGUUCGUCGCGACUCUAAGAGAUUAGAGUUUUCGGUUCGGCCGGACGAAACACAGGUGCUGCAUGGCUGUCGUCAGCUCGUGUCGUGAGAUGUUGGGUUAAGUCCCGCAACGAGCGCAACCCUCACUUUUAGUUGCCAUCAUUUAGUUGGGCACUCUGAAAGAACUGCCAGUGAUAAGCUGGAGGAAGGUGGGGAUGACGUCAAGUCCUCAUGGCCCUUAUGUGUUGGGCUACACACGUGCUACAAUGGUACUUACAAUGGGACGCAAAGAGGCGACUCUAAGCUAAUCCCUAAAAUGUACCUCAGUUCGGAUUGUACUCUGUAACUCGAGUGCAUGAAGCUGGAAUUGCUAG
rnacentral:rRNA from 1 species